AUUGAACGCUGGCGGCAGGCCUAACACAUGCAAGUCGAACGGUAACAGGAAGAAGCUUGCUUCUUUGCUGACGAGUGGCGGACGGGUGAGUAAUGUCUGGGAAACUGCCUGAUGGAGGGGGAUAACUACUGGAAACGGUAGCUAAUACCGCAUAACGUCGCAAGACCAAAUAGGGGGACCUUCGGGCCUCUUGCCAUCGGAUGUGCCCAGAUGGGAUUAGCUAGUAGGUGGGGUAACGGCUCACCUAGGCGACGAUCCCUAGCUGGUCUGAGAGGAUGACCAGCCACACUGGAACUGAGACACGGUCCAGACUCCUACGGGAGGCAGCAGUGGGGAAUAUUGCACAAUGGGCGCAAGCCUGAUGCAGCCAUGCCGCGUGUAUGAAGAAGGCCUUCGGGUUGUAAAGUACUUUCAGCGGGGAGGAAGGGAGUAAAGUUAAUACCUUUGCUCAUUGACGUUACCCGCAGAAGAAGCACCGGCUAACUCCGUG
rnacentral:rRNA from 1 species